AUACUCUGGUUUCUCUUCAGAUAGUAUAAAUCUUUCGCCUUUUACUAAAGAUUUCCAUGGAGAUGAACAACUCUGAGUCUUAAUUUCUCUGGUGUGAAUAAACUAUAAUAGUACA
ensembl:snRNA U5 U5 spliceosomal RNA